CUGUGCAACUUUCUGUGUGUUACAAUCUCCCUGGGCACGGACCCCUGCAACACUGCUGUGCUUCUUAGCCUCGGGGUCCGAGCCCCUGCUCCGCUGUGUCGGGUACACUUGGACCCAAGCUCCAGCUUGCAAAUAAACCCUCAUGUACUUGCAGCGGCGUCGGCUCCUCGGCGGUUUCUCGGAUGCGCGGUCUUGGGCACAACAGGGGCAGCGUCAGGUGACGCGGCAGGUGCAGCGCGAUCACCUGCUGCCGGCGCGGUGCAGAGGCCGGUUAGCAGGGGACGCCACCGUGCGCCACGUCCGGGGAGGACCCGCCGCCCGCUCUCCCCUCCCCUCCCCUCCCCUCCGGGCCCGCCGGCCCCCAGCUCCCCGCCGCCCCGCCGCCGUCCACCCGCCCCGCCGCCCCGCAGUCCACCCGCCGGCCGUCCGCGCUCCCGAGCCAGCGCCGGGCGCGAGGUGGCGGUGGCGUGUGCUGACGUCAUAUGGGCCGCCCGCCUCCGAUUGGCCACCGCCGCCUCACCAGACCGCGAGCGGACGGGCGCGCGGGCGGGGCGGGGCGCGCGGAGGCCACGCCCCCCGACGGCGGGCCGGGCGGGGUCACGUGACCCGGGCCCCACCGCCCGCCUUAUAAGCCGCGCCGCGCGCCCCGCGCCACGGGCCCAACUCCAGGCGGUCCCGGCCGCGACCUCUUCCCCCCUGAGCCCGCGCGCGGGCGCCCCCCCGGACAGGUACGCGGGGCGCGUGGGAGACUCCGGGGCCGAGCUCGGGGCGGGAGCCGGGGGCGCGGGGCCUGGGGCGGUCCGGGCGCCCCCACCCACCCCCGGGAGCCGCGGGGACCCGGGCCCGGCCCCGGGGCGGAGCUGCACGCCUGACCCCCGCGGGUCGGCUCGGCGCCCCCCUGCCCCGGGCCCGGGUAACUUGCGCUGCGCGCGGACGGCGUGUGGGAAACUUUGGGGCCGGACGGGCCAGCGCUGGAGGCGCGUGCGGAGGGCACCGGGGCCGCUCGAUGCUGGCAGCCGGUCCCAGACGCCUGGCCGCCGCCGCCGCCGCCGCCGCCGCCCGCAGCCCCGCGCCACCCAGCGGGCACCCGGCGGGACCUGGGCGCGGGCCGUGCCGUCUGCGGGCGCCCGGAGCCCCGGCUUCCCGCGCGAGCCGCGAGGCCCGCACCUCGCCCUCCGCCCGACGCCGCCCGGGCCCGGCUCCCCAGCUCCCCAGCUCCCCAGCUCCCCUCGCCCGCGAGCGUGA
rnacentral:lncRNA from 1 species